rnacentral:lncRNA from 1 species
UCAUGACUGAAUUCUCAUUUUUAGGUGAACUGUACCUUUAAGCUAAUAUAAUGAAGGCAUGUCUGCUGGUUUGGGAGUGGACCUGAAGCGGGUCAGUGGGAGAAAGAGCCAUGUGGUUUGGGGACUUGACCUGUGCACGAUUAAGAAAAAAACCUCAUAAAAAAUAUCAAACCUUUGACCAUCGCAAGAAAAGGUCUGCAAGGGAUGGAACACACACUUUGGGAAAGGCCAGCACCUCUGACAUCUAAUCUUUAAUUGUGGAUGGAUUUAUCGCUGUGUUUCCAAAAGCACAGAGAUAAACAUUCUGAUAUGGCCUCUGGACCGCAAUGAGGGCACCAGGAGUUAUGGUUAUGCAACUUCCUGUGACCUCAUCAGUCAGGACACAUCUUUGAGUAACAGACGAUGAUGAUGUGCUUUGAACAAACAGGUCUAAAUGAGUCGCACGUCGUUCUCUUGUAUAUGGUGUGAUUUUGACUCGAGCAGCUAGGGGUAAUGACUUUAAUGUGGUUUUAGCAAAAUGAUUCACGGCGCUGUUGUGUUAGAUAAUGAUUUGAAAAUGUUUUGUAAGACAUAAUGCAUUUCUCACUUCUUGAUAUAACUCUAACAGCUGCCUGUCUGUCUGUCUUUUAAUUUAACUAAAUAUAAUUUAUUCAUUAAUUAACCUUUGGCUUAGUCUCU